rnacentral:rRNA from 1 species
UACGUAGGGGGCUAGCGUUGUUCGGAAUCACUGGGCGUAAAGGGUGCGUAGGCGGCUUUGUAAGUCAGUUGUGAAAUAUGACAGCUCAACUGUCAGGGUGCCAUUGAUACUGCAGAGCUUGAGUACAGAUGAGGUAGGCGGAAUUGACGGUGUAGCGGUGAAAUGCUUAGAUAUCGUCAAGAACACCGAUAGCGAAGGCAGCUUACUGGGCUGUAACUGACGCUGAGGCACGAAAGUGUGGGGAUCAAACAGG